rnacentral:hammerhead_ribozyme from 1 species
AUCCAACUGAUGAGUCCCAAAUAAGACGAAACGUGUCGAACUGGAU